UACGGAGGGUGCGAGCGUUGUUCGGAAUCACUGGGCUUAAAGCGCGUGUAGGCGGGCCGCCACGUCAGUUGCUGAAAUCCCCCGGCUCAACCGGGGAAGUGGCGCUGAUACGAGCGGCCUGGAGGGAGGUAGGGGGGGCUGGAACUUCCGGUGGAGCGGUGAAAUGCGUUGAGAUCGGAAGGAACGCCCGUGGCGAAAGCGAGCCCCUGGACCUUUUCUGACGCUGAGACGCGAAAGCUAGGGGAGCGAACGGG
rnacentral:rRNA from 1 species